AUUAUUAUUAUUAUUAUUAUUAUUAUUAUUAUUAUUAUUAAUUAUUAUUAUUAUUAUUAUUAUUUUCAUUAUUACUAUCAUUUUACUACUACUACUACUAUUACUACUACUACUACUACUACUACUACCACCACAGCCAGGAGGAAGAGGUUAAAAUAUUAUGGGAUUCAAUUAAGGACGAUUUAGUAGGAACAAGAACAAGAAAAAAACAAAAACAAUAACGAAAUAAAUUAUAAUAAUGGAAAAAAUAUUAUAAUGUUAAAGGAAAGAAAAAAAUACAAGGAAAAAAAUGUCAUGUUGGCAGGAAGAGGAAGAGGAGGGGCAGAAGCAGGAGGAGAAGGAAGAGGAGGUGCUGAGGGAAGGGGGAGAAAGAGGAUGUGGUGAGGAGGAAGAGAAGGAGGAGGUGGAGGUGGAGGAGGAGGAGGAGGAAAAGGUACAGAAACUUAAUAGAACCAGUUACAGAAAGGAGGAAAACUGCUGAAGAAGAAAGAAGAAUGUAAAUAUAAGGAAAAAUAUAAAACAAGAAUGAUUAAAGAUAUAAAAAAAAAACAGUUAAUGGAAAAAUAAAUCAAAUCAAGAAGCAAAAGUCAGACAAAGAACAAAAAAGCAACAAAUAAAAUAAAAAUAAAACAGAAAAAAAGACAAAACGAAGAAGACGAGGCAGGAAACAGGAUGGAAGAAAGACAGGAGACAAGAAAGCAAGAAAGAGAGAGAAAAAGAAAAAAAAGACAACCCAAAUAAGGGGACAGAGGAGGAGGAGAAGAAGAAGAAGAAGAAGAAGUAGAGACAAAAGAAGUAGAAGAGACAAAAGAAGAAGAAGAAGAAAAAUAAAAAGUGGAAAGCGGAGAAGGGGGAAACAGAUAAGGAGAAGACUCAGUAGAAGAAGAAGAAGACAAGCAGAAGAGGGAAGCAGAAAGAACAUGAAGAACGAUGAAAAACAAGAAACAUGGGGAAACAGCAACACCACACCACCAGCAGCAGCGGGAAGAGGAGGAGGAGGAGGAGGAGGAGGAGGAGGAGGAGGAGGAGGAGGAGGAGGAGGAGGAGGAGGAGGAGGAGGGCUUUCUCAGGCGAGUGUGCAUGAACGUAUUGAUCUCAUGGCAGUGCCUGGGCGUUGAGGCAGAGGCUGACUCCCUCUCACAGUGCAUGGAUUGAGGUAGAGGCGCAAGCUACGUGUCUUUCCCUUCUCCACCUCUUCCUCUUCCUCCUCCUCACUCUUCCACCUUCCUCCACCUUCCUCCACCACCCCUCGCCUCUAUCUCUCUCUCCAUCUCACUCCCCGUCUCUCUCUCUCUCUCUCUCUCUCUCUCUCUCUCUCUCUCUCUCUCUCUCUCCUCUCUCUCUCUCAGUCUGUGCUUGGUUCGUGCGUGCGUGCGUCCGUGGUUUCUGCAUUCAAGUCCGCAAGUCUGUCUGUGCGUCUGUGCGUUGCGUCCGCCUUCUCUGGAUCUGUGCCAAUAUCAUCGUCUGGCGGCGGUACCGUCUGUGUGUGCGUGUGUGCGUGUGUGUGUGUGUGUGUGGAGCGGUGGUGGUGGUGGUGGUGGUGGACAGUGUCAGUGGAUGAGUGUGAUGCUACCACCACCCUACCACCACCACCACCACCACCCGCUAGCGCCACCACCACCGCCACCACCGCCACCAUCACAACAACAUCAUCAUCAUCAUCAUCAUCAUCAACAGCAACAUCAGCGCCGCCCAGCCAACCAGCCAGCCAGCCAGCCAACCAGACAAACAGACAGACAGACAGCCAAGCGACAGAGGGAGCUGGGAAGAAAAAAAUCUAUCCAGGUAAAGUGAAGGAAUAUAAUACUUACAUUAAAACUAGCCUGUCUAGAGAAAAAUGUGAAUUGUAAAAAGAAAACAAGAUAAAUAAAUCAAACAAAAAAAAAAAUAGCGUUGUUAUAUCCAAAUAUACCUUUAAGUACCGGGGAGAGAGAGAAAAAAAAAAAAUUAAAUCAGUAAAAUAAGGGCAUAACUAUACAGCAAACUGAAGGAAUGCCACACUGAAGCAGACCUGUGGGGACCUGGAAAGUAAUACAUGUCAGGUCCAGACACAGAGAAGCUAAGGCUGAGGCUGUGCAAGGUUUUGUUCUGUGUGUCACUUGCUGUUGGUAAUUCAAGUGUACUGGGGUGUGUUUAGUGAAUGUAGAAGUAGCAUGGAGCAGCUCAUUUAAGGAAGUAGUGUAUAAAUUGUUGUUGUUGUUGUUGUUGCUGUUGUUAUUGUUAUUAUUAUUAUUAUUAUUAUUAUUAUUAUUAUUAUUAUUAUUAUUACUAUUAUUAUAUCACGAUUAAAGUAAUAAAAUAAAUACUUUUCAAACAUUCUUUUAUUUAAGGUCACAAACGGAAGAGGGACUCAUUAAAAAUAAAUUAUUAAGGUAACACAAGCAAACAAAAAGUCCAGAUGAGAAAUAACUCUGAUUAUGAUUGUAAGAAUAUAACCGCAUUUCUAUCUUCAUUGUAAUCUCAUCAGGAGGAAGCACCAGGAGAAAAAAAAAUAUGAAAAAUCUAAGUGGAAUGAUGGAAAUUUUAGCAAAGGUUCAGGAAUAAGACAUCAAUUCUCAGUAAGCUUAUGGAAUGCUGGGAAAUCCUUGUAAUCUCCUAAGUAUUUUAUAGUUUAUAGUGUACAUUGUGUUGUGCCUCGUGGUGGUGAAGCGAAACGGCAUGUUGUGAAGUGUAUGAGCUUGUUGUGCCGCCGAGAAGGUUGUGUGUGCAUCCAAGUGGCAGUGAAGCACAUCUGAGGGAGUGAGACUGAAGUGAACUGAGUGAAAGUGAAGUGAAGUGAUUGAAGUGUAGUGAAGUAAAAUAAGUAAGAAUAAAAUUAAGUGACUGAAGUGAAAGUAAAUUGAGUCAAGCAAGAAAAGUGUUUGGCAGUAAGGUGAGUGAUGACAAUUAAGUAUAUUCAAGUCACUAAUUUUAAGUAAUUGUUUGUAGUAUUACAGGAUUUGGUUAUUAUUGUAAGCAGAAUUAAGGAAGAAUGAGUCAUUAUUCGUUACUGGCUCAUUUCUUACAAUUAAUUUAGAUUCUUGUUAUCAUCAAUAAAUACAAAUUUUAAUCCAAAAUGCAGUCAAUCUACAUAUCUAGUUUUCAUUACGAUACUGUAAUUGUUAGCGAACAUUUUGAUGUAUCAGUAAAAUUAAGUGGAGAAAGACUUAGAUUUAAUAGCACUUAAUAGGAUACCAAAUCAUAAUUCAGUGUGAUAUUCGGGUGAUUAAUAUCUGGUCUUCAACAUGCCACUGUAUUGUAAUUCUCUGGAAAAAAAAAGAUUGAUGUAUCGGCAAAAUUGUGAAAAAAGGCAUUAUUUUCAUAUAAAACACCUUAGAUUUAACCCGUUCACUGCUGACAACCUUGGAGCUUCCUGCAGGCGCCAGGUGUUACAGGUGUUAGGCAGAAUAGAGGAAAUAAAAACAUAACAAUACUGGACUUGUUAUCAGGGACUAUUUUUAAACCCACUAUAAAAAUAAAUACAUAAAUAAAUAAAAACACACCACCGCAAAUCUUGUAACACCUCAAAAAAUCUUAGAACGAAAUCAAUGCAAUGGUAAUUUACUGAAGGAGUUAGCUACUAGGUCUCUCCCUAACACACACACACACACACACACACACACACACACACACACCAAGACUUACCUACCCGACAAAGUGCCUCUCUCUCUCUAACGCAAAACACACAACAAUGCACGCGCUUCCUAAUGGGGUAAGGAGGCUGUAAACAGGUAGCAGGAGGGCACAAUCACGCAGGCUUCUCCCGUGCAAUGUUCACCUGCGUGCUAAACUCCAUUAGGUAAUAAGAGAAGGUUGCGUGUAAUGUACAACUGAAUUACAACUCAAUUACUACAAACGAUGGCGAUGCUUGUGGUUAAGAAGUUAUCCUGCGGUGAGAGAGAGAGAGAGAGAGAGAGAGAGAGAGAGAGAGAGAGAGAGAGAGAGAGAGAGAGAGAGAGAGAGAGAGAGAGAGAGAGAU